AAUGGUUUCUGUUUAGUUUGGAUCUCCAUUAUUGUAUGCUAUUAGUGAUGAUACUGGUCUAAUUGCACGCAAUAGUGGGGUUCUUAACAAAUACCCAUCCU